AUGCGGUAGCACACCACAUCUUUCUUAAGCAUGGACUAUCUUAUAUUUACCUAGUGAUCAUGAAGAACAGUUGUAUAAACUUCACAUUUAAAAUCACAGAAAUUAAAUAUGAGAUGAAAUAAAAUAUUCAUUAGAAGCAAAAUAAGGUUUAUACAACUCCAAGAAUAGAAAUCAAAAAUAUAAAACCCUUGGCCCUUUGUUAGGGCUGCAUCCGGCCCUAGUGAGAAGAUCAGCCCUGCAUGGAGUUGGAGACGGCAGCAGCAGCACAGCAGCGGGCUCCCAUCUCUUCCUCUUGCGAUUCCCUUGAGAACGGCUCCUUCUUAGCUCUUAGGGGAAGUUAUUCCCAAGAAAUCUUCUCUCUCUUUCCUUUCUCUCAUUUUUUUAUUCUCUCAUGGGAUUCGGCUCACUCCCUCCCCUGUUUCCUCUUCUUCCCGUGGGAAGUCACCGUGAGAAGAACUGUGGAAUCAAAGCCCCCGCUUGCUGAUCCUUCGAUGGGGAAGAAGGAGGAAUGCCCUUUCUCAUCAGAAAUCCUUCCUUUAUAUAGGCAGCCAUCUCUUUCUCCUCCUCAAAGAUAAGGAUGCAUGGAUUGAACUGAUCUAGUCGUUGGAACAGGAAGCCGUUGGAUUAGCUCGGUGAAGUGAUCCGAAAAUGUUGGAGAUUUGAUUCGGAUCCUUGGAGAAAAUCUACUUGCUGUUCUGGAACUUGGAGAGCACACAGAAGAAGCCGAUGUUGCUGUUCCACGGUUGCAUGGGAUAAGCUUGUGAUCGAUGGAGUUAACGAUGGGAAGAUUCGGUCCUCUGUUCCGCUGCAGCAGGGGAGGAUGCAAACGGAUUUGGAUAAAGAAGAUCUUGGAAGAGAGCUCCUUCGUGAUGCUUGGGGAGAGGAUUCUGUUUCCGAAACAGGGGAGGAUGCAGUUGAAGCUUGGGAUUAGUGGAUACGGCUGAACUUGGAUGAAUAUGGAUCACAACGAAAUGAGAGCUGGGAGAAAUCCGUGGACGAAGGAUUGGUUUUUGGUUGGUUUGGAUGCUGGGAUGAUUCAUGACCGGGAGGAGAUAUGGCUGGAGAUGAAGCUUGCGGAUGAGGUUGAUCUGGGAAGGAGUGGUUCCGGAGGGAGGUUGAAGAAGUUAGCUUAGGCUUAUCCA
rnacentral:lncRNA from 1 species